rnacentral:rRNA from 1 species
GAUGAACGCUGGCGGCGUGCCUAAUACAUGCAAGUCGAGCGAACGGACGAGAAGCUUGCUUCUCUGAUGUUAGCGGCGGACGGGUGAGUAACACGUGGAUAACCAACCUAUAAGACUGGGAUAACUUCGGGAAACCGGAGCUAAUACCGGAUAAUAUUUUGAACCGCAUGGUUCAAAAGUGAAAGACGGUCUUGCUGUCACUUAUAGAUGGAUCCGCGCUGCAUUAGCUAGUUGGUAAGGUAACGGCUUACCAAGGCAACGAUGCAUAGCCGACCUGAGAGGGUGAUCGGCCACACUGGAACUGAGACACGGUCCAGACUCCUACGGGAGGCAGCAGUAGGGAAUCUUCCGCAAUGGGCGAAAGCCUGACGGAGCAACGCCGCGUGAGUGAUGAAGGUCUUCGGAUCGUAAAACUCUGUUAUUAGGGAAGAACAUAUGUGUAAGUAACUGUGCACAUCUUGACGGUACCUAAUCAGAAAGCCACGGCUAACUACGUGCCAGCAGCCGCGGUAAUACGUAGGUGGCAAGCGUUAUCCGGAAUUAUUGGGCGUAAAGCGCGCGUAGGCGGUUUUUUAAGUCUGAUGUGAAAGCCCACGGCUCAACCGUGGAGGGUCAUUGGAAACUGGAAAACUUGAGUGCAGAAGAGGAAAGUGGAAUUCCAUGUGUAGCGGUGAAAUGCGCAGAGAUAUGGAGGAACACCAGUGGCGAAGGCGACUUUCUGGUCUGUAACUGACGCUGAUGUGCGAAAGCGUGGGGAUCAAACAGGAUUAGAUACCCUGGUAGUCCACGCCGUAAACGAUGAGUGCUAAGUGUUAGGGGGUUUCCGCCCCUUAGUGCUGCAGCUAACGCAUUAAGCACUCCGCCUGGGGAGUACGACCGCAAGGUUGAAACUCAAAGGAAUUGACGGGGACCCGCACAAGCGGUGGAGCAUGUGGUUUAAUUCGAAGCAACGCGAAGAACCUUACCAAAUCUUGACAUCCUUUGACAACUCUAGAGAUAGAGCCUUCCCCUUCGGGGGACAAAGUGACAGGUGGUGCAUGGUUGUCGUCAGCUCGUGUCGUGAGAUGUUGGGUUAAGUCCCGCAACGAGCGCAACCCUUAAGCUUAGUUGCCAUCAUUAAGUUGGGCACUCUAAGUUGACUGCCGGUGACAAACCGGAGGAAGGUGGGGAUGACGUCAAAUCAUCAUGCCCCUUAUGAUUUGGGCUACACACGUGCUACAAUGGACAAUACAAAGGGCAGCGAAACCGCGAGGUCAAGCAAAUCCCAUAAAGUUGUUCUCAGUUCGGAUUGUAGUCUGCAACUCGACUACAUGAAGCUGGAAUCGCUAGUAAUCGUAGAUCAGCAUGCUACGGUGAAUACGUUCCCGGGUCU